UUUCCGUUGGUGAACCAGCGGAAGGAUCAUUACAGAGUUCAUGCCCUUCGGGGUAGACCUCCCACCCUGUUUAAUUACUAUUGUUGCUUUGGCAGGCUGCCCUCACCAUGGGGCGUCCGGGUUCCGCCCGCGUCUUGCCUGCCAGAAGCCCCCUAGUUCUGUGUUCUGUGUCGUCUGAGUACUAUAUAAUAAGUUAAAACUUUCAACAACGGAUCUCUUGGUUCUG
rnacentral:misc_RNA from 1 species